UCCAUCUUAUUUUAUUUCAGGAGAUGCUGGCUACCCGUGCGGUCGGUGGCUCAUAACACCUAUUCACAGGCCACACUCACGGGCGGAGUGUGCUUUCAAUCAAGCACACGUGAGAACGCGGUCUGUGAUUGAGCGGACGUUUGGUGUCCUCAAAAGCCGGUUCCACUGCCUCGAUAAAUCAGGAGGCAGCCUAUUGUACAGCCCCACCAAAGUUGCCAACAUCAUCGGUGUGUGUGCUGUACUGCACAAUCUGGCGAACCGGCACGGCCUACCAGCUGAGGUGGCCGAUGACCUUGAGGACCCCGUCCAUCCACCGGAUCCUGUCCAACGUGCGGAUGCCCGAGGGAGUCAAGUCCGGGGACAAAUUGUUGCAAAUUACUUUGCCUGUAAGUACCUACAAUCUUUAAUCCCAUACACAAGAAAUACCAAACAACUUUUCCCAAAACCAAAGUUUUAUUGUGAGGGAACAGUUCCCAAAUAAAUGUUUUAAGCAGGUUAUUACACCACCCGCAACACAAAAAGAAA